rnacentral:rRNA from 1 species
GACUACGGUCUCAGAUCAUAUGUGGCGACCCGCUGAAUUUAAGCAUAUUACUAAGCAGAGGAAAAGAAACUAACCAGCAUUCUCUCAGUAAUGGCCAGUGACUAGGGAAGAGCCCAGUGGCGAAUCCCCAUACAGCGGCAAGCGUGGGAAAUGUGGCGUACAGAACACCGACUCCCCAGCAUCGCUCAUGGGGCUCAGGUCCUUCUGAUAGUCUCACCCUGUGGAUGUAGUUAGGCCGGUAGCGGACUCUGGCACGCCGGGAUCAGGUCUUCGAUUUGCGGUGCUUGGGAAUGCAGCCUAAAGCGUGUGGUAAACUCCAUCUAAGGCUAAAUACGAGCGCGAGACCAAUUGCCAACAAGUACCAUAAGGGAAAGUUGAAAAGAACUUUGAAGAGCGAGUUCAAGAGGGUGUGAAACCAUUGAGAGGCAAACUGGUGGAGUCCAUGCAGUCCGGCUGCAGGAUUCAACAUGGCAGCCAGGUGGGUCGCCUGGAACGGUGGUUGCCUUUGCGGGACUGCGGCCCAGGCACACCUGGCCCCCGCAGAGCGCAUUUCCUCUGUAGCAGUGCACCGCGACCAGCUGGGAAGGCCCCAGGAGGGCAGGUGGCUCUCUGCUCCAGCAGAGUGUUACAACCCCCUGACAGUUUUGCUGUGUCCGCGGGGCCGAGGAAGAUUGACUGCCGCCGUGCCCUUCUCCGGGAACUGUCCUGGCCCCUCUUGGGAGUCGACAGGGCUCCUGAUGCGACUCUGGUAGACUGCCCUUAGUGCGCUCUGAUCGCGGCAUGCUGCCGGGCGGGGAGGCCCACAAAGGGCACCAGGGGUCUGAGGUGAUGUUUAACCACCCCACCUGUCUUGAAACACAGACAAAGGAGUCUAAUACGUGCACGAGUCAGAGGGCCGUAUGAAACCCUGUGGCGCAAUGAAGGUGGGGGCCGGCGUGUGCAGAUUGCGGUGGGAUCCCAUCUGGUUGGGUGCACCACCAACCCAUCUCGCCUGCUCUGUCAGGGAAAUGGAGCAUGAGCGUGUGUGAUAGGACCCGAAAGAUGGUGAACUAGGCCUGGUGGAGGUCUGUAGUGAUCCUGAUGUGUAAAUCGGUCGACUGACCUGGGUAUAGGGGCGAAAGACUAAUCGAACCAUCUAGUAGCUGGUGCACGGAAACCCCAGUUUUAUCUGGUAAAGCGAAUGAUUAGAGGUCUUGGGGCCAAAAUGAUCUCGACCUAUUCUCAAACUUUAAAUGGGUAAGAAGCCCGACUCGCUGGCAUGGAGCCAGGCAUUGAACACAAGCGCCCAGUGGACAACUUUUGGUAAGCAGAACUGACUCUGCGGAAUGAACCGAACCCGCGUUAAUGCGUCUGAUACCGAUGCUCAUCAGACCCCAGAAAAGGUGUUGGUUGAUAAAGACAGCAGGACGGUGGCCAUGGAAGUCGGAACCCGCUAAGGAGUGUGUAAAAAAACUCAUCUGCCGAAUCAACUAGUCCUGAAAAUGGAUGGUGUUGGGAGCGUCGUACACAUACCCCGCCGGCAGGGGCUAAGCCGCGACAAGUAGGAGGGCUGCUGCGGUGCACACGGAAGCCCAAGGCGAGGGCCCGAGUGGAGCCGCCGCAAGUGCAGAUCUUGGUAGUAGUAGCAAAUAUUCAAACGAGAAUUUUGAAGGCCAAAGUGGAAAAGGGUUCCAUGCGAACAGCAGUUGAACAUGGGUCAGCCGGUCCUAAGAGAUGGGCGCGCGCCAUUCGGAAGGGGCGGGCAAUGACCUCUGUUGCCUUCCGUCGAUCGAAAGGGAGUCUGACUCAGAUCCCCGAACCCGGAGUGGCGAAGUCGGGCGCCUUUGCGGUGUCCAGUGCGGUAACGCAAAUGAUCCUGGAGAAGCCGGUGGGAGCCCCGAGGAGAGUUCUUUUCUUUGUGAUGGGCAGGGCACCCUGCAAUAUGUUCGUCCCCAGAGAGAGGGGCCUGAGCCGUGGAAAGUGUUGCGGUUCCGGCGGCAUCCGGUGAGCUCUCGCUGGCCCUUGAAAAUCCGGGGGAGAUGGUGUAAAUCUCGCACUGGGCCGUACCCAUAUCUGCAGCAGGUCUCCAAGGUGAACAGCCUCUGGCAAGUUGGAACAAUGUAGGUAGUGUAAGUCGGCAAGUCAGAUCGUAACUUUGGGAUAAAGAUUGGCUCUAAGGGAUGGAUCGGUCGGGCUGGGGUGUGAAGCGGGUUGGGCACGUGCUGCGGUUGGACAAGGCGUCUUGCCCCCCCUUCCCGGGACCGGCGCUGACUUUGGACGCGAGCCCGGCCCCCAGCUGCAGUGGUAGUCUCAAUCUAGCAAAACCACAGCCAAGAAACAGCAGGGAAAGAAGACCUGGGCGAGCUUGACUCUCCUCUGGCACCAUGCAGUGCCAUGAGAGGGGUAGGAUAAGUGGGAGGCCCUCGGGCCUCUGGUGAAAUACCACUACCCCUAUUGUUUUUUCACUGCCCUGAUGAGGCAGAGGGCGAGCCCGUGGGGCUCUCACUUCUGGCUCCCCGGGCGCAACCCAUUCUGGGGAAAGCGGCAGGUGGGGAGUUUGAUCUGUCAAAUGAUAACGCAGUUGUCUAAGGCGAGCUCAGGGAGGACAGAAACCUCCCGCAGAGCAGAAGGGCAAAUGCUCGCCUGAUCUCGAUUUCCAGUAUGAAUCCAGACCGUGAAAGCGGGGACUCGUGAUCCUUCUGACUUUUUGGGUUUCAAGCAGGAGGUGUCAGAAAAGUUACCACAGGGAUAACUGACUUGUGGCGGCCAAACGUUCAUAGCGGCGUCGCUUUUUGAUCCUUCGGUGUUGGCUCUUCCUAUCAUUGUGAAGCAGAAUUCAAGCGUUAGAUUGUUCACCCACUAAUGGAGAACGUGAGGUGGGUUUAGACUGCCGUAAGACAGGUUAGUUUUUACCGUACUGAUGAUGUGUUGUUGCAUAGUAAUCCUGCUCAGUACGAGAGGAACCGCAGGUUCAGACAUUUGGUGUAUGUGCUUGGCUGAGGGAAAAGCUCUAAAUGGACCCUGCUAAAGCU